UACGUAGGCCUCGAGCGUUAUCCGGAUUUAUUGGGCGUAAAGAGCAUGUAGGAGGCUUCACAAGUCUUUGGUUAAAGACCACCGCCUAACGGUGGGAGUGCCGAGGAAACUGUGGAGCUGGAGGAGGUUAGAGGUGCAUAGAACGCAUGGUGUAGGGGUGAAAUCCGUUGAUAUCAUGCGGAAUACCAAAGGCGAAGGCAGUGCACUGGGACCUUCCUGACUCUGAGAUGCGAAAGCGUGGGGAGCAAAAAGG
rnacentral:rRNA from 1 species